UGCAGUUAACCUGAGGAGUGGGGUACC
rnacentral:piRNA from 1 species